CCUGGUUUUUGCCAUCAGCGAGGUAUAGAGUUCCUACGUUCAAUUUAAAUACUCGUAGGAACUUCAUACCGUGCUCUUGGAAGACCAAAACAC
rnacentral:pre_miRNA from 15 species